rnacentral:lncRNA from 1 species
UUCAUCCGGACUCCUACGGGAGCCAAACUUCAUCCCCGACUUCAAUUGUAGGUAGACUUCGUCCGGACUCCUACGAGAGCCGGACUUCAUCCCUGACUCUGACUGCAGGAGGACUUCAUCCGGACUCCUACGGGAGUCGGACUUCAUCCCCGACUCCGACCGCAGGAGGACUUCGUCUGGACUCCUACGAAAAUCGGACUUCAUCCCCGA